GCACCCGUCUCUACAACCAGCCGGUGGACGCCGACGGCACAGGCAAGCUCUACCGGGGUUUUUUGGAUUGCAUCCUGCAAAUCUCCAGCAAAGAGGGGCUGCUGGGCUUGUACAAGGGCAUCGGCGCCGUCUACCUCCGCCUCGGCCCCCACACCGUCCUCAGCCUCUUCUUUUGGGACGAGCUUAGGAAGAUGGUGCAGCACCAGCAGCCCCCAGGGCCGUAGGACGGGCUCCCGGCCCCGCCGCGGCCGUUAAUAAAGGGGUUUUUC